rnacentral:lncRNA from 1 species
ACAGAGACAGCAGAGCCUUGCUCAACCUCUUCUUUAACCCCGGUAGUUAUUUUUUCUAAUCCUUGACAUUCCUCAUCUUAGAUAUGACUUGUCCCAGUCUUUGUCUUGGUGUGUACAUGGCUCACACUUGUGUCACCCCGUGGCUUUCCUGUUAGGACACCAGCCACUGUACUGACUCCAAUGUAACUUAACCUCAAAAGCAUUGUCAUUUUGAAAUGAAGUCAACUCCUGAGGUCUCCAAGGGGAUGUGAAUUUGAGGGAGAGUCCAGUCAUCAUCGCACUGCUACACAGCAGGUGUCACACACAGUUGGACAGCGGACGAUGAUGAUCCCCCAAACAAAAGGUAAGUGAAACCCAAGGCACCGGAUGGAAGAAGAUGACUGAGGCACCUAAGAGAGGAUGAUGACCCUAGGCACCGAGACACUGAGGCACCGGAGAGCGACCUAAGGCACCAGAGGACGAUAACCCGAGGCAUCAGAGGACUCUGGAGGAUGAUGGCCUAGGCACUGGCGGGAGGACCCUAUGUACCAAAGGACCGCGAGGCUCAGAGAAUGAGGGUCCAAGGCACCAGAAGAUGAUCCCCGCAGCCACCUGAGAGAGGACAAUGACCUGAGGCACCGGAGAACCGAGGCACUAAAGACCUGAGGCACCAGAAGAGUAUGGAAGAUGAUGACCUAGGCACUGGAGGGAGGAUGAGGACCCAAUGCACUGAAGGACCACGCCAGAGGACAACAACCCGAGGCACCAUAGGAAGGACGAUGACCCAAGGCACCGCACCGAAGGACAGGGGCACCAAAGACCUGAGGCACCAGAGGAUGAUGACCCGGAGCAUCAGAGGACUAUGGAGGAUGCUGACCCAGGCACUGGAGGGAAGAUGAGGACCCAAAGCACCAAAGGACUGCGAGGCAGGGGGAACAAAGGCCCAAGGCUCCAGAGACAGCGCCCUGAGGCACCAAGAAUCACUGGAUUGCAGAGUCUGGACUCCAGAUAUCUCCAUCAUGGCUUGAUGACUUCCUGAGCCCUCCACUUUAUCAUCAGUUAAAAUGUGAACAGGGGACCGUCCCAAGCCCCCUGACCUGUCUGCAGCUUAGCUGUGGGAGAGGGGAGGAUGACCAUGCCUGAAUGUGCUGUACCUAGUCUGGAGUAAAACACCCAACUCACCGUGUAUCUCUUUCCUUUUAAAUAAUAUUUCCACUAAUCACACUGUUAGAGCCAAGCCUUUCUGUUUGUAAUGCUUAUGGAUAGAAAAUUAAAAGGUACACGGUCUCUGAUUUGAAUGUGAAAUACUGGUAUGAAUUCAGGAUGCAACUCCCCUUAGAAGAAGAAGAAGAAGAAGAAGAAGAAGAAGAAGAAG